rnacentral:lncRNA from 13 species
CUAAAUCUUCACUGGAAACUGCCUGUCUGACUUCCUGUUAUCCAUACUUCCCCAGGGAUCAGAAGAUUGAGAAGAGCUUGCGCCAACUGGCUUGAACAACCUUAACCCAGAAAUAUUGAUGUGAUUACAGACUGCAAUAAGGGGCAGUGGCAUCCUCAUGCCAGCUGGUCUCCUAGUGGCUGCCCCUGUGACCUGCUUCUGAAUGGCCAGGCAGGAAAGGACUCCCACUGUGUUGCAUUUAAAGAAAAGAAAAAGAUGAAUUAAGUGAAAAGCUCUGCAAACAACUGAGUGUAAUUAUUGGGUGAUUCUUCAGCAAUCUCAGGAAACUGAGCAGAAUCUGGGCAUAAAUUAUAACAGAAAGGCCAAUAGACUUUCAAAGGAGCAGAGGAAGUAAGAAAGAAGGAGAUACUCAUUUCUCAACAGAAU